ensembl:lncRNA
CCUCCUCACAGUAGAUUGGCCAAUCAUAGCGCCAGCCAAAGGCUCGUGACCCUCAAGAGACGAAUUGAGCCACAACUCCUUUAAGGGCACAGAAUGCAGUAUGUAUAUAGGAGAAAUCAUCUCCUUGUUAAGUUCUCCCCUUUAUCCCAAAAAUAAAUCUAUGUAAUAACUUUAGAUGUACGCCUACAUUAUAGCCACUACUUCUAAAAAUCAAAAAGAAAACAAACCUAUUCUCCUUCUUCAACCUUUAGGAUUCUCCCAACAAUAUACUAUAAUCCCAUAAUAUAACCCCACUCAAUAAAACAGAAACUUUCUCUAGUAAAAGCAAAUUGUUUGUCCAGAUUUAUUCAAACUGGGAUCCUUCAUUUUUAUUUUCCAUCGGAAAAUAGUUCCUUAUGUUUUUGACUGGAUUGAAUCGCGACAAUCCUUUAGACAGGGACUUGCGACCUAAUCAGAUCCCCACCGGUAGCCGAAUAAUUUGUGCUGUUAUUCACUGUUGCAGGCCUGCUUAGAACAAAAAUGAGAAAAAGAGAGCUGAUUAUUAGCUCCUGAAAACACAAAAACAAAACAAAAUCACCUGACAGGUUUUCUUUGAGUGCACUGUUACAAAAAUAAUGGGCCCCUCUCAAACAUGACCAUGUUUCCUAAAACUCCCUCUAUUUAAAAACAAAAACAACAACCACCCAAACCUAACUGACAGAAUCAACCCAUCACCACAUAAUUCCACCUCCUCAAUACACCGAAAAUCUAGAUAAAACCACACAAUUUGCACUUUAUGCACUUUAACAUGCCUAGAUUCAACAUACUCAAAUGUUCUUUAUUAACCAUUCACACCAUUCUAUCACUCAUACAAACAGCAAGCUGUUUUUAUUUUCUUUGUGUUCUAAGCCAGGUUUAAUCAAUGUCUAUGCAUUAAUCAUCGUGGGCUUGUCUUGUCUUUGUAGGGUUACUGCGUUUUCUGCUUGUGUAUGUGAAUUUGCAUAUGUUGCUUUUGCAGCGUGUCAGACUCCUUCAUAAUUCUCCACUUAAGCCGUCAGUUUCCUUUCCCCAAUUUGCUAACCCAAAUUUUUAAACGCCCACCUUAUUAACAGCAUUCCUGGUCCUCUGCCAGAAGUUAGGGCCCCACUUUGUCAGGUUUGUGGAGACAUGGCGCUGUGAACAAUUCAACCAGAAACUUGCCUUAUCAGAUCCAGUCAAAUUAACCUAUAGGUUUUUCCUUCCGACCGCUGCACGUGGAGAAUUGAUCCAGUUCUGU